rnacentral:rRNA from 1 species
GGUGCGUUAAUGGGCGUCGAGCGGCGGACGGGUGAGUAAUGCCUAGGAAAUUGCCUUGAUGUGGGGGAUAACCAUUGGAAACGAUGGCUAAUACCGCAUAAUGCCUACGGGCCAAAGAGGGGGACCUUCGGGCCUCUCGCGUCAAGAUAUGCCUAGGUGGGAUUAGCUAGUUGGUGAGGUAAUGGCUCACCAAGGCGACGAUCCCUAGCUGGUCUGAGAGGAUGAUCAGCCACACUGGAACUGAGACACGGUCCAGACUCCUACGGGAGGCAGCAGUGGGGAAUAUUGCACAAUGGGCGAAAGCCUGAUGCAGCCAUGCCGCGUGUAUGAAGAAGGCCUUCGGGUUGUAAAGUACUUUCAGUUGUGAGGAAGGGGGUNNNGUUAAUAGCNCNAUCUCUUGACGUUAGCAACAGAAGAAGCACCGGCUAACUCCGUGCCAGCAGCCGCGGUAAUACGGAGGGUGCGAGCGUUAAUCGGAAUUACUGGGCGUAAAGCGCAUGCAGGUGGUUCAUUAAGUCAGAUGUGAAAGCCCGGGGCUCAACCUCGGAACUGCAUUUGAAACUGGUGAACUAGAGUACUGUAGAGGGGGGUAGAAUUUCANGUGUAGCGGUGAAAUGCGUAGAGAUCUGAAGGAAUACCAGUGGCGAANGGCGGCCCCCUGGACAGAUACUGACACUCANAUGCGAAAGCGUGGGGAGCAAACNNNAUUANAUACCCUGGUAGU